rnacentral:rRNA from 1 species
UACGAAAGGGGCUAGCGUUGUUCGGAAUUACUGGGCGUAAAGCGCACGUAGGCGGACUAUCAAGUUGGGGGUGAAAUCCCGGGGCUCAACCUCGGAACUGCCUCCAAAACUGUUAGUCUAGAGGAUGUGAGAGGAUAGUGGAAUUCCGAGUGUAGAGGUGAAAUUCGUAGAUAUUCGGAAGAACACCGGUGGCGAAGGCGACUGUCUGGCACAUUUCUGACGCUGAGGUGCGAAAGCGUGGGGAGCAAACAGG